CUCGGCCCCUCGGCGUCUCCUCGCACGUUUCCAAAUGGCAGGGCCUGGUGUCCGUGACUGGGAUGCCCACUGUGAGGGCCCGAACUGAAAAUCCCUGACACUGACAUAUGUGAAUCAUGGGCAUCUUGGAAAGGCCUCAAAACGCGGCUGAAACACUGAAAUUUCACCCUUAAUGAGCUGAGGCAAGACUGGUCGAGUUGGAAAGAGAGACUCUUUUCAAUGUGGCUGCUGAAAUGAAAGGACGAAGUCUGCAGUCUCUUAUUGCCUCCUUAUCAUCAUGAGGAAAAAGCCAGCGCAAGAAUGGAGCAAACUGGGAGCGAAGCAGAAUCAAUAGAUCACAAGCACAGAACCAAGUCCUGAUGACAUUGUUUGCGCUCCUUGAUCCAGGGGACAUGGGUUUGAGCCUUGGUCCAGGAAGAUCCAACAUGCCGAGGAGCAACUAAGCCCGUGCACCACAACUACUGAGCCCAUGCUCUAGGGCCCACGAGCCACAACUACUGAGCCCACGUGCCUCAACUACUGAAGCCUGUGGGCCUAGAGACUGUGCUCUGCAACAAGAGAAGCCACUGCAAUGAGAAGCCCACGCACCGCAACGAAGAGCAGCCCCUUCUCGCCCCAACUAGAGAAACCCC